UCCUGAGGCCAUGGAUGUUAGAGAUGUUGGUCUUAGGGACCAUGAGGAAUCUCUGUAGGGCUAAUCAGUGCAGAUCGUACCCCUUAAGUCACUGGAAACCCCAGCUGGCUGAAGCUCUUGAAGAGGACCCAGGAUGUCCCUCCAAACCCAGGCAGCUCAUCUGCAGCUCCCAACCCCGGCUGUUUCUAAGGCUGAUGCUUGAGAGAACUUGGGGACCCUGUCAUGAAAGCCUCAAAGACUAGCUGACAGAUGGCCAACUCCCACCUGUGGAGACUGAAGACAGCGGCUGAGAGGGCAUGUGGAACACUGGAGGAAGCUGUUGGAAUGGUCUCUGUGCCAGGCUGAGUGGAUCCACAUACAAAGAGAAACAGUGAGGGAAGUGUGUGACAGUGCAGCCUGGCUCAGCUGCUG